rnacentral:rRNA from 1 species
GACGAACGCUGGCGGCGUGCCUAAUACAUGCAAGUAGAACGCUGAAGGAGGAGCUUGCUUCUCUGGAUGAGUUGCGAACGGGUGAGUAACGCGUAGGUAACCUGCCUGGUAGCGGGGGAUAACUAUUGGAAACGAUAGCUAAUACCGCAUAAUAGUAGAUGUUGCAUGACAUUUGCUUAAAAGGUGCAAUUGCAUCACUACCAGAUGGCCCUGCGUUGUAUUAGCUAGUUGGUGAGGUAACGGCUCACCAAGGCAACGAUACAUAGCCGACCUGAGAGGGUGAGCGGCCACACUGGGACUGAGACACGGCCCAGACUCCUGCGGGAGGCAGCAGGAGGGAAUCUUCGGCAAAGGACGGAAGGCUGACCGAGCAACGCCGCGUGAGUGAAGAAGGUUGUCGGAUCGUAAAGCUCAGUUGUAAGAGAAGAACGAGUGUGAGAGUGGAAAGUUCACACUGUGACGGUAUCUGACCAGAAAGAGACGGCUAACUACGUG